rnacentral:rRNA from 1 species
CCUACGGGAGGCAGCAGUGGGGAAUAUUGCACAAUGGGGGAAACCCUGAUGCAGCGACGCCGCGUGAAGGAAGAAGUAUUUCGGUAUGUAAACUUCUAUCAGCAGGGAAGAAAAUGACGGUACCUGACUAAGAAGCCCCGGCUAACUACGUGCCAGCAGCCGCGGUAAUACGUAGGGGGCAAGCGUUAUCCGGAUUUACUGGGUGUAAAGGGAGCGUAGACGGCAUGGCAAGUAUCAUGUGAAAGGCAAGGGCUCAACCCCUGGACUGCAUUGGAAACUUGUAGGCUGGAGUGCAGGAGAGGGAAGUGGAAUUCCUAGUGUAGCGGUGAAAUGCGUAGAUAUGAGGAGGAACACCAGUGGCGAAGGCGACUUACGGGACUGUAACUGACGUUGAGGCUCGAAAGCGUGGGGAGCAAACAGGAUUAGAUACCCCUGUAGUC